rnacentral:rRNA from 1 species
AACACGGGGGAUGCGAGCGUUAUUCGGAAUUAUUGGGCGUAAAGGGCGCGUAGGCGGUCUUGUCGGUCAGAUGUGAAAGCCCGGGGCUCAACCCCGGACGUGCAUUUGAAACAGCAAGACUUGAGUACGGGAGAGGAAAGCGGAAUUCCUGGUGUAGAGGUGAAAUUCGUAGAUAUCAGGAGUAACACCAGUGGCGAAGGCGACUUCCUGGAUC